rnacentral:rRNA from 1 species
UACGUAGGGGGCAAGCGUUGUCCGGAAUCAUUGGGCGUAAAGAGCGUGUAGGCGGCCCGAUAAGUCCGCCGUGAAAGUCCAGGGCUCAACCCUGGAAUGCCGGUGGAAACUGUCGGGCUGGAGUCCGGAAGAGGCGAGUGGAAUUCCUGGUGUAGCGGUGAAAUGCGCAGAUAUCAGGAGGAACACCGGAGGCGAAGGCGGCAUUCUGGACCGACAUUGACGCUGAGGAGCGAAAGCCAGGGGAGCAAACGGG